rnacentral:rRNA from 1 species
UACGAAGGGGGCUAGCGUUGCUCGGAAUCACUGGGCGUAAAGGGCGCGUAGGCGGCCAUUCAAGUCGGAGGUGAAAGCCCAGGGCUCAACCCUGGAAUUGCCUUCGAUACUGUCUGGCUAGAGACCGGAAGAGGUAAGUGGAACUGCGAGUGUAGAGGUGAAAUUCGUAGAUAUUCGCAAGAACACCAGUGGCGAAGGCGACUCGCUGGACAAGUAUUGACGCUGAGGUGCGAAAGCGUGGGGAGCAAACAGG